GUGCUCGCUUCGGUAGCACAUAUACUAAAAUUGGAAAGAUACAGAGAUUAGCAUGGCCUCUGUGCAAAGAUGACACGCAAACUCAUGAAGCGUUCCCUUUUUUU